rnacentral:sRNA from 1 species
AGUAGCUGAAUGUCUCACUACUCCGUGC